GUGGGGAAUAUUGGACAAUGGGCGAAAGCCUGAUCCAGCCAUGCCGCGUGUGUGAAGAAGGUCUUCGGAUUGUAAAGCACUUUAAGUUGGGAGGAAGGGCAGUAAGUUAAUACCUUGCUGUUUUGACGUUACCGACAGAAUAAGCACCGGCUAACUUCGUGCCAGCAGCCGCGGUAAUACGAAGGGUGCAAGCGUUAAUCGGAAUUACUGGGCGUAAAGCGCGCGUAGGUGGUUUUGUAAGUUGGAGGUGAAAUCCCCGGGCUCAACCUGGGAACUGCCUCCAAAACUGCAUGACUAGAGUACGGUAGAGGGUAGUGGAAUUUCCUGUGUAGCGGUGAAAUGCGUAGAUAUAGGAAGGAACACCAGUGGCGAAGGCGACUACCUGGACUGAUACUGACACUGAGGUGCGAAAGCGUGGGGAGCAAACAGGAUUAGAUACCCUAGUC
rnacentral:rRNA from 1 species